rnacentral:rRNA from 1 species
CAGCCGUAAACUAUGCGCGUUAGGUGUAUCGGUGGCCACGAGUUACCGAGGUGCCGAAGGGAAACCGUGAAACGUGCCGCCUGGGAAGUACGGUCGCAAGGCUGAAACUUAAAGGAAUUGGCGGGGGAGCACCACAACAGGUGGAGCCUGCGGUUUAAUUGGACUCAACGCCGGGAAGCUCACCGGAUAGGACAGCAGAAUGAUUGCCGGGCUGAAGACUCUGCAUGACUAGCUGAGAGGAGGUGCAUGGCGUAGACGUCU